ACUUGAUGGCUUAAUUCUGCUCCUUUAACAUAUGAACAUGAACAAUGUUGCCAUUAAAGCAGGCACGGAUAAGAUGCUGGGAUCGGGGAUGGAGGGGCUGCCAGACCAGCUGAGUUCCUGCUGCAGUUGCUCGUGCGUUCUGUGACCGGACCAAUCCCACAGUGAUCAAGAUCUUUAUUCUGCCUGUCUGUACUCUUUCCAGGAAGUGCUUUAAUGCAUAUGUAUACAUACACGCAGCCACUUUCAGAAGCAGGUCUUGCAGCAAAUGAAGACUAGUUAAGAGUUAAGGCCCUGUCCCACUUUCCCGAGUUAUUGACGAACUCUCCUGAGUUUUCCCCUUGAUUCGAACUCGGGGAAUGUUGGGUAAUGUUGCCAGCGAGUCCGUAGAUGUUUCGUAGCGGCUCGUAAUGCCAGCCGUAGGAACUCGGGGCAUCAGGCUCCAGUUUAUGAAAACACAAACCAGCUGGCUCCAGUUUAUGAAAACACAAACCAGCUGGCGUACAACAACGUGACAAAUGAGGCCGUGUACAUGAACAUGGAAGAGGGGAAAGCCCAGCGCUCACGGCAAAACCUGGAGCCCAGAUGGACACAGACUUUCUCCAUUCAUGCAGCCAGCCCCGUAUCUCCACAAGGAAAUCCAUGGCCCCCAAUCUCCUCCCCCAAAGGGGGGCAACAACUCCAUGAGAUGAUGUCCACUGGAGCCAUCUAUGAAAAUGUUUAAAUUCAUCUGUGGAGUCAUACAGCACAGAAACAGGCCUUUUGGCCCAUCUCAUCAAUGCUGACCCAGUUGGCAUGCUGGGUUAGUCACAUUUGACCCGUAUCCCUCUAAACUCUUCCUAAUUAUAAAACUGCACAAAUGUUCUUCAAGAGUCAUAAUUGUGUCCACUUCUACAACUUCCUCUGGUAUCUGGUUCCAGAUACGGACUACUCUCUUGAGUGUAGGGAUUGACCCUGAGGCCUCUCUUAAAUCUCUCCACUCCCACGUUAGGCCAAUGCCCUCUAGUUUUAGAAUCUUCUACCCUGGGAACAAGCCAGUGAGUAUUGAUUUCAUCCAUGCCUCUCAUGACCUCAAUAAGGCUCAGCCUCCUACACUCUAGAGAAAAAAGGUCCCAGCCUAUCUAACCUUUCCAUUUCAUUCAAGUCCAUCUGCUCAGGAAACAUCCUGGUGAAUCUCAUCUGCGCCGUGCAACUUACUGACAUCCUUCCUAAAGCUGUGUGUCCAGAGCUGCUGUACACUGUACAACAUGCGCAGUCUCAACAACGACUUGAACAUCUGCAGAAUGAUGUCCCAACUCCUGUCCCCAAUACACUUCCCAAAGAAGGCAAGACCCAGGCCAGAUCAUGUAGUUAAAUUAGAUAUCCUUCUUCACUGUCCACUACACCACCAAUUUUGAAGUCAUCUGCAAAGUUCCCAACAUUGUUAGCUACAUGGUCACGCAGAUAGUUAAUGUAGAUCACAAACAGCAGUGGGCCCAGCACCAACCCCUGCAACACUCCACUAGUCACAGGCCUCCAAUCAGACAAGCAACCCUCCACAAUUACGGGCGGCAUGGUGGCGCAGCGCUAGAGUUGCUGCCUUGCAGCGCUUGCAUCGCCAGAGACCCAGGUUCAAUCCUGACAGCAGAUGCUGUCUGUCUAGAGUUUAUACGUUCCUCUGUGAUCAUGUGGUUUUUCUCCAUGUGCUCCGGUUUCCUUCCACGCUCUAAAGACAUGCGGGUUUGUCAGUUAAUUGGCUUUGGUAAAAAUUGUAAAUUAUCCCCAGUG